rnacentral:rRNA from 1 species
GAUGAACGCUGGCGGCGUGCCUAAUACAUGCAAGUCGAGCGAACAGAUAAGGAGCUUGCUCCUUUGACGUUAGCGGCGGACGGGUGAGUAACACGUGGGUAACCUACCUAUAAGACUGGAAUAACUCCGGGAAACCGGGUCUAAUGCCGGAUAACAUUUAGAACCGCAUGGUUCUAAAGUGAAAGAUGGUUUUGCUAUCACUUAUAGAUGGACCCGCGCCGUAUUAGCUAGUUGGUAAGGUAACGGCUUACCAAGGCAACGAUACGUAGCCGACCUGAGAGGGUGAUCGGCCACACUGGAACUGAGACACGGUCCAGACUCCUACGGGAGGCAGCAGUAGGGAAUCUUCCGCAAUGGGCGAAAGCCUGACGGAGCAACGCCGCGUGAGUGAUGAAGGUCUUCGGAUCGUAAAACUCUGUUAUUAGGGAAGAACAAAAGUGUAAGUAACUGUGCACGUCUUGACGGUACCUAAACAGAAAGCCACGGCUAACUACGUG